GAUGAACGCUGGCGGCGUGCCUAAUACAUGCAAGUCGAGCGAACAGACGAGGAGCUUGCUCCUCUGACGUUAGCGGCGGACGGGUGAGUAACACGUGGAUAACCUACCUAUAAGACUGGGAUAACUUCGGGAAACCGGAGCUAAUACCGGAUAAUAUAUUGAACCGCAUGGUUCAAUAGUGAAAGACGGUUUUGCUGUCACUUAUAGAUGGAUCCGCGCCGCAUUAGCUAGUUGGUAAGGUAACGGCUUACCAAGGCAACGAUGCGUAGCCGACCUGAGAGGGUGAUCGGCCACACUGGAACUGAGACACGGUCCAGACUCCUACGGGAGGCAGCAGUAGGGAAUCUUCCGCAAUGGGCGAAAGCGUGACGGAGCAACGCCGCGUGAGUAAUGAAGGUCUUCGGAUCGUAAAACUCUGUUAUUAGGGAAGAACAAAUGUGUAAGUAACUAUGCACGUCUUGACGGUACCUAAUCAGAAAGCCACGGCUAACUACGUG
rnacentral:rRNA from 1 species